CAAUAGCGUAUAUUAAAGUUGUUGCAGUUAAAAAGCUCGUAGUUGGAUUUCUGGUUGAAGCGACCGGUCGGGCGUUGAUUCGUCUGCACUGGAGUCGGUUUUGGCCAUCCUCUAGGAAAGUGCGUCUGGUAUUAAGUUAUCGGGAGUAUGAUCCUGGUCUUUUACUGUGAAAAAAUUAGAGUGUUUAAAGCAGGCCUUCGCCUUGAAUACAUUAGCAUGGAAUAAUAAGAUAGGACUUUGGUCUAUUUUGUUGGUUUGCAGACCGAAGUAAUGAUUAAUAGGGAUAGUUGGGGGUAUUUAUAUUCCGAUGUCAGAGGUGAAAUUCUUAGAUUUUCGGAAGAUAAACUUAUGCGAAAGCAUUUACCAAGGAUGUUUUCAUUAA
rnacentral:rRNA from 1 species